ensembl:lncRNA
GGGGAGGAGAGAGAGAGGGAGAGAGAGAGAGAGAGAGAGGGGAGGAGAGAGAGAGAGAGGGAGAGAGAGAGGGGGAGGAGAGAGAGAGAGAGGCGGAGAGGGAGAGAGAGAGAGAGAUUACAGGCGUCUUAUCAUGAUGUGAAGCUGCAGAAGUCGCCCAUUUUUUGACCUACAGCUCUUGUUUUCUUUGUCCUCGAAUGCGCCGCCCUCUAAACCCAACCCCCUCCUAAUCUCGUCCAAUGGGGUGAUUGAAAGCGAUCUUGGCGUGGACGGGGCGACAUACGGAGCGUUGUGAUUCGUUCUCGUGUGUCAGCCUCAAACCGAAUCACAGAACUGCAUGUUUUAGUUUUUAUUUACAACGUUUGGUUAAUUGAAUUGAAUUCGAACAUAUGUUACAAACCAAUCACUCUCCAUCACAUGUUUUGCUAGAGGAGGCAGAGAAAGAAUGAGCCUGGAUUGAGUUCUCACCCUUUGCAGUAUGCAGCAGAGUUUAACGGUUUGCUGGGCUCUGAUUGGUUCGCAGAAGAACCUAUUCAAUGACUCUUCUUGAUUAGAAGGCGGGGCCUGUUUAAUUUUGUACCCUUCGCUAACUCUUGUUCCUUCCUUCAUAACCACUAAUGUACAAACCCGCCUAGGCUAAGGCUGCUCACUGUGCAUCCCUUCCAAUCCUUCCUAGUCCCUCAGUCUUGCGUCCUCUGUGAAGUAAGCACGGCCAUGAUGAUCAAAAGAGUUCCUACGUACUGGGGUAGGAGCAUUACCAGUCUGCUGGUGGGGAUGGGGCUGGGGGGGGUCAUUGGAAUGGGAGGCUGACGGCAGAUGUGUCUGAGCCGGUCUCCCUGAACGGCCUCUGAUCCAGAAUCAGCAGGCACCCCUCUCUGGACGGAGAGCUCCAGUUGCCUUCGGACUAUCUCGUCUCUUCUUGACAAAUGACAGAACUAUUUAUUCUUUCCUGAGAGAAUGUUACUGGGUUUCGCUACCAAAGGAAAAAAACGAUCGGUUGACGUGAAAACUCGACGGCAUCUAGACCGUGAUGCCUUUGGUUUUCUAACGCAUUUCCUAAUGUACAGAUAGAUCUAUUUUUGGAGUUGGAUUGUUUGCAAAGUUGACAGGUGUGUUCAAGUGUUUUCAUAUGGGGGCGGGGGGAAGGGGGAGGCGUGGUGGAGGUGAGACUGACAUAUUAGUCGGCCAAUCAGAAACCAUCCAGAAAACGCUGACGUCCAGUUCAAAAGUGGACGACGCUACUUCACAGUGCCAUGAUUGGCUCGCUCUGGUUUCCUGGACAACGUUUAAAGCAAUAGACGCGAGACGCACUCAUUUACCUGGCCCCUACCUGGGUGCGCUGUAGACACAUUUUACGCCUAUUUUUAUGAACUUCUUUUCUUUUUUAACAAUAUUUUUAUGCAACUGACCUCUUGGGUGCGCUGUCUCGGACGGAGGAAAGAGUGUGUCCUGCCGGGACGUUUGCAUCCCGUUAGCUGUGUUCAUGUCCUGCCGGGACGUUCAUGUCCCGCUGGGUGUGUCGUAGAGAAGCCGUCCAGAAGAUCGGGCAGAGUCUUGUGUGUUUCCUUCUCUCCUUUCCUGUCCUGAAGAGUUUUGUGUUUGUAAGCGAAUGCCUUCAUUCUCCCCGCGGGGCGAGAGCUGUUUAUUGUUUGACAAUAUUGGCCACUUCAGUAUUUAUUAUUAUUAUUAUUAUUAUUAUUAUUAUUACUACGGUGAAUGAGCUUUGGCAAUUCAGAAUGUAACUUUGUACAUUGAACACAUGAUGAUAUAUAUAUAUAUGAUUAUAUAUGAAUCAUUUAGAUGAACUGGGGUGUAUUAUUUUGUGAAAUGCUUUGUUGCAUUUGGAGGCAAAUUUUAUGAAAUAUAUUUGAUUUAUUCUGACGGUUAAUUUGACUGAGCUAUGCACUAUCUUUAGGAGGAGCGGAGAGAGUCCGGUUUGGGGGUGGAAGGGGGGGGGGGAUGGCUCAUUUUACCGUCUCCCACCGCCUCCAAACUGGUACUGGUGUGUGUGUGUGUGUGUGUGUGCACUUGCACCCCACUGCAGCACAGACACGCCCAUGUUUCCUACAGCGACUCUAGCCUUACUGUGUUGAAUAUGCGAUCAAUAAAUCAAACCAAC